AACGAACGCUGGCGGCAGGCUUAACACAUGCAAGUCGAGCGCCCCGCAAGGGGAGCGGCAGACGGGUGAGUAACGCGUGGGAACGUACCUUUUGGUUCGGAACAACUCCGGGAAACUGGAGCUAAUACCGGAUAAGCCCUAACGGGGAAAGAUUUAUCGCCGAAAGAUCGGCCCGCGUCUGAUUAGCUAGUUGGUGAGGUAACGGCUCACCAAGGCGACGAUCAGUAGCUGGUCUGAGAGGAUGAUCAGCCACACUGGGACUGAGACACGGCCCAGACUCCUACGGGAGGCAGCAGUGGGGAAUAUUGGACAAUGGGCGCAAGCCUGAUCCAGCCAUGCCGCGUGAGUGAUGAAGGCCUUAGGGUUGUAAAGCUCUUUUGUCCGGGAAGAUAACGACUGUACCGGAAGAAUAAGCCCCGGCUAACUUCGUG
rnacentral:rRNA from 1 species